GUGGGGGCGAGUGAAAGUGGUUUUGGGGGCAGUUCGUGCGAGUCGGCCCCCCACGUUGAGAAUGCCCUGAAGUUUGUCUCCUGGUCAAGUUCAAUAGCGACUGUCUGGCUAUGUCUGGAAGCCCAGUGAUUUGCAUUGCUUGAAACUGGGUGUUCGGCUAAGUCCCCUCGGCACCCCCACCUCACCCUCCCGACCGUGGGAGAAAGGGUGCGGGCGUUCGCAUCUUUGCCUCGGAAAGGUUUCUUACAGGAGGUGGAUUUAGGGGGCAACUCGCGUCUAGUUGUGAACGAGCGUUUAGGGAAUCCGAAACUCGGGGAACCCUGGUGAUAGUCUACUCCCCGCCCCCGCACAACAUGCAUAGACACACUGCACAUCACAUGUACACACAAACACACACACGCACACGCCACUCCUCCCGCCCCGAUUUGCUUCCGGGAAAACAAGUCCGAGAGCAGCAGACACUUGCCAAAAGUCACGCAGCGAGGAUCCUCAGAGCUGGGGCUGAUAAGCCUACUGAAUACUGCUGAUAGGACCUCAUUGGAAACAUUUGUGGACAUAAAAUUGUGAUCAAUCCGUGAGAUCUCAGAGAAGGUCAGCCAAAUGUUGUGAUUGCACCUGCUGUACAUCAUCGGAUCCUCAGAGUGGUUGUCUGAGCAAGAUAAAGAAAGUGGAGUUAUGCACUCCAGAAAUUAUGCAAAUCAUCCAGUGGCACAAAAUUCCUAUCAGAACCGCUUUUACUGCCUCCCCCGGCGACGUUCCCGGCCCGCCAACGUUUCUUUCGUCCUUACAAGGCCAGCUUCCACCCGCUGCUUUUGUGUAAAUAAAGCCUGGCCUUCUGCCUGCAGGUUGCCGCCAGAAGCCGGCCGGUGGGGGAAGGGUUCGGAACCGGUACGACCGCCUCAGCCGCGCCGGGAGAGGCCGAGAGUCCGCCACGCUCAGCCGUCGCGCGGGGGCGGUACUCCGGGCCCCCCAGGAUGAGCCGAGCCGAGAAACCCAGCACGAGAAAGUCCCCACCCACCUGCACCCUCUUCCGUGGGUCACCCCGCGCGUGGCAGGCCCUUGACAAAUAUCGUCCUGAAUUCUCCCCGCGAUCCUGGGAGUAUCCUCCCCAUUUUAUAGACGAGAGACUGAGGCUUACCAAGUGUAAGGGGCUUGACCGAGGUCCCAUAGGCGAAAAAAGUGGCAAACCAAGAACUUCUAACCGAAUAUAUCUGGCUGCAAAAUCCAGUCUUCUCCCAUCCCGCCGGUCACCAGUGAGACUGUAAAGGUCUUAAAGGAGAAGAAUAAAAAAAAAAAUAACCACACGAAUCAGAUUAACAGAUCGUAAGGAAUUGAAAGGGCCUUCCAGAGCUGCUGGUAUUUCAAACAAGUGGACUCGAACCACAGGAUAAGUAACAAACUACUUUUCCUGGGUGACCAAUCAUACUUUUUUUUUAAUUAAAAAUAUAUUUAUUAAAAUAGAUUACGAUGGAGAAGAAUAUAAUUUUCAAAAUAAUGAUAGCUGAAAACAGAAGACUUAAAAGAAAUGUCAGGCUGUUUCCACCUCGCACACCUUUCGUUCGAUUGCACACACAUUCUUGACAUCAAGUACAUAAACAGGCAAACUGAGGCCCGAAACCAGUCCCACUGAGAGCGAGAGGCCGAGUGGGAGGAGAACCGAGAUUUCCGGGCUCUCGGCCUGGGGUGCUUUCGGCUGGGGGCGGGGGUCCUGUUUGUAAACAGGUGUCCUCGGACAGCCACUGCCGAUUUUUGUCACUCUGCCAACCGGAGGGACGAUUCUGAGUAAUCGCUAGCAGUCAGCGCAGCUGGGGCUAAAAGCGAAAGGGACGCGCGCGCGACGGGCCCGGGAGGGCGACGGGUA
ensembl:lncRNA